rnacentral:rRNA from 1 species
GACGAACGCUGGCGGCGUGCUUAACACAUGCAAGUCGAACGGUGAACUCCGCUUGCGGGGGGAUCAGUGGCGAACGGGUGAGUAACGCGUGGGCAACCUGCCCUCAGCUCUGGGAUAACUCCAAGAAAUUGGGGCUAAUACCGGAUAUGACCGCUGACCGCAUGGUCUGGUGGUGGAAAGAUUUAUCGGCUGGGGAUGGGCCCGCGGCCUAUCAGCUUGUUGGUGGGGUAGUGGCCUACCAAGGCGACGACGGGUAGCCGGCCUGAGAGGGUGACCGGCCACACUGGGACUGAGACACGGCCCAGACUCCUACGGGAGGCAGCAGUGGGGAAUAUUGCGCAAUGGGCGAAAGCCUGACGCAGCGACGCCGCGUGGGGGAUGACGGCCUUCGGGUUGUAAACCUCUUUCAGCAGGGACGAAGCGAAAGUGACGGUACCUGCAGAAGAAGCACCGGCCAACUACGUG